GCCCGGCUAGCUCAAUCGGUAGAGCGUGUGACUCUUAUACUCUUAUAGCAAGUUUAUAACGGUUGGCCAUCACAAGGCUGCGGGUUCGAGCCCCGCGUUGGGCU
rfam:Trichophyton rubrum CBS 118892 genomic scaffold supercont2.12, whole genome shotgun sequence.